CAAGUCGAGCGAGAUUUUUUCCUGUAGCAAUACAGGGAAACGUCUAGCGGCGAACGGGUGCUUAACACGUGGGCAAUCUGCCGAGAAGUGGGGGAUAGCUCGCCGAAAGGCGAAUUAAUACCGCAUGUGAUCAGAGUGGACAUCCAUUCAAAAUCAAAGUCGGGGCAACCUGACGCUUCUUGAGGAGCCCGCGGCCUAUCAGCUAGUUGGUGAGGUAACGGCCCACCAAGGCUUUGACGGGUAGCUGGUCUGAGAGGACGACCAGCCACACUGGGACUGAGACACGGCCCAGACACCUACGGGUGGCAGCAGUCGAGAAUUUUUCUCAAUGGGGGAAACCCUGAAGGAGCGACGCCGCGUGGAGGAUGAAGGUCUUCGGAUUGUAAACUCCUGUCAUUGGGGAACAAUGCGUAAAUAUUAACUGUAUUUACGUUGAUAGUACCCGAAGAGGAAGAGACGGCUAACUCUGUGCCAGCAGCCGCGGUAAUACAGAGGUCUCAAGCGUUGUUCGGAUUCAUUGGGCGUAAAGGGUGCGUAGGCGGCGCGGUAAGUCGGGUGUGAAAUCUUGGAGCUUAACUCCGAAACUGCAUUCGAUACUGCCGUGCUUGAGGACUGGAGAGGAGACUGGAAUUUACGGUGUAGCGGUGAAAUGCGUAGAUAUCGUAAGGAAGACCAGUGGCGAAGGCGGGUCUCUGGACAGUUCCUGACGCUGAGGCACGAAGGCCAGGGGAGCAAACGGGAUUAGAUACCCCGGUAGUCCUGGCAGUAACGGUGCACGUUUGGUGUGGGAGGAUUCGACCCCUUCUGCGCCGGAGCUAACGCGUUCAACGUGCCGCCUGGGGAGUACGGUCGCA
rnacentral:rRNA from 1 species